UGUCGAAGUUAUGCAAAAGAAUAAGCAUGGUCACAUCUGUCAUGUGUUGUUACCUUGAUUUCAAGUUAUUUGAGAUUAUGGUAUCGAAAAGCAUGCCUCGUGAAAAAUGCGACAA
rnacentral:pre_miRNA from 13 species